GCUGGACGCAGUGUGUGUGUAUGUGUGUGUGUGUGUGUGUAGCAGCUUCGCAUCUAGCCUAUGUAUGGACUACGGUUACAGGGUCGCUCUCUGCUGCUAACCUUGCUCUUCUUAAAAGUGAAGGCAGACACCCUGAUGAACUUAAACCAGAGAGGCCAGUGAAGGGAAGAGGAACGACCCCUCAUCUAUUAUUGAAGAUUAAUGUGUCAUAACGAGAAUUCCAACGAAGUGUAGUAAGAAAAACAGAUAAUAAGAGAAGAUGCUAACUUUGAAACAUCUGUUCGUUAACGUGUAACACUUCUGGCCACUUAAACACUGACUAUAAAUUCAAGAACAGCAGCGAGUGUUACGCGAAGCAAUGCGACUAAAGAGACCACAUCCUCAAGCCCUCCACAGUGUAUCUUGCUAUGUUAUCCUCUUUUAACUUUCCCUGGUGCAGCGAUGUCCUUGAAUACAGACUUGAUAUGGAAAUUACAUGAACAUAUGAUGAAGACAAAUAACUGCAACAGAACAAGGCCAGUUACAUAUUUUAUAACAGUUACUCAUACUCGUUUUCUGUUGCUCUCGUACUGUUGAAUAAAGAAAACCAUCAACACAAUCAAAUCAACAUUUACGAUUAUACGAGUACGAGACCUUGUUUUGUUGGUAUCAACCAUUCAUUCAGGAGAACAUAGUCAACGUGUUAGUGAUAUAUAACUUUUUAUGGUCAGAAAAUGAAUGAACAAAAUAAAUACACGUAUGGGGGUUCAUCACAUGGUUGGUAUUAGCUUAUCCUUCACUAAAAUAGCAUAUGUUGGUAAUGGCAUUCACUAUGCUUAUCAGUGAGUCAUGAUAAUUAUCAUCAUCCCACUUCUUUCCUAUUGUGUGUAGAGGUUUUAACUUGUGUUGAGUACAUUAUGUACGGUUCGCAUUCUCUUGAUUACUUUUAAACUACUGGGAUGUGGAAGGUACUGACUAAGAUUUACAACUGUUUUCAUGAUCCUAGUAAUAGUUAAACGAGGACUAUACCACAUAUACACAUAACUAAUGAUAUAUACAUAACUGAGAACCACACUAAUUAUCUCUGUGGCCUUUGAAAAUAGUCCAGAUGAGAGAACAAAGCGUCUCAGAAUAUGGGCGCGGUUUAUUGCACUGUUUUCAAGUUCAUGAUUAUAAUACUAGCUUCUUCACUUGCUUCUUGCCAUGACUCACCAACCACUUUCUCUGGGUGCCCCUCAUUGUUGUUGUUGCUGCUGUUUAAAAGCUGGUGUCAAUUUUUUUUUUUCUUCGCCUAGAAGGAUUUGACUUCAUAAAUUCACACUGACUCACAUCCUUAUUGAAGUUACAACGUUCUGUGCAUGAUUCUUUGAGUUGCUGCCCUCGCCCCCUGCCCCUCUUGUCAACCUCAUUAACACCCUCAAGAAUGGACAGCCUUUCACACCUUAUAUGCGGCUCAAUUUAUCUAUUUGUUUAUUUACUUACUUUACGCACAAUUUAUCCUGAUAGGUAGCAACACAAAUGAAUGAAUUAAUAAAUAAACAGAACCAGUUGAUUAAUUAAGAUGCUCAACUGCUGUUCCCCCAAAAAAUGAUAACGACCAAUUUAUUUGUUCUUCGAGAGUUUUGAUGUUCUUAGAAUAUUUAAAUAAUGAUGAUGAUGAUGAUGAUGAUAAUAAUAAUAAUAAUAAUAAUAAUAAUAAUAAUAAUAA